UACGUAGGGUGCGAGCGUUGUCCGGAAUUACUGGGCGUAAAGAGCUCGUAGGUGGUUUGUCGCGUUGUCCGUGAAAACUCACAACUCAAUUGUGGGCGUGCGGGCGAUACGGGCAGACUGGAGUACUGCAGGGGAGACUGGAAUUCCUGGUGUAGCGGUGGAAUGCGCAGAUAUCAGGAGGAACACCGGUGGCGAAGGCGGCAUCCUGGACCGGCAUUGACGCUGAGGCGCGAAAGCCAGGGGAGCAAACGGG
rnacentral:rRNA from 1 species